GUGUUCCGGUUCGGCAAUGAGUUCUGCAUGCACGACCCUGCGCCAGGUGUUCGAAAGAUGGUGAAAGCAUCGGUAACCUGCACGAGGGAGCAGAAACUGGCAUCGAUGUACCCAGAUAUGCCCGCGCACAAAUACUGGGAUCAGGUGCUUCACCUGCGGUACCGGUCCCGCGUCGAGUCCGGUGUCCGUGACUACCUGCACACGCCGAUAUCAGAGCAUCG